rnacentral:rRNA from 1 species
GUGGGGAAUUUUGGACAAUGGGCGAAAGCCUGAUCCAGCCAUGCCGCGUGCAGGAUGAAGGCCUUCGGGUUGUAAACUGCUUUUGUACGGAACGAAAAGACUCCUUCUAAUAAAGGGGGUCCAUGACGGUACCGUAAGAAUAAGCACAGGCUAACUACGUGCCAGCAGCCGCGGUAAUACGUAGGGUGCAAGCGUUAAUCGGAAUUACUGGGCGUAAAGCGUGCGCAGGCGGUUAUAUAAGACAGAUGUGAAAUCCCCGGGCUCAACCUGGGAACUGCAUUUGUGACUGUAUAGCUAGAGUACGGUAGAGGGGGAUGGAAUUCCGCGUGUAGCAGUGAAAUGCGUAGAUAUGCGGAGGAACACCGAUGGCGAAGGCAAUCCCCUGGACCUGUACUGACGCUCAUGCACGAAAGCGUGGGGAGCAAACAGGAUUAGAUACCCUUGUAGUCC